UAGCUAGUUGGUGAGGUAAAGGCUUACCAAGGCGACGAUCUGUAGCGGGUCUGAGAGGAUGAUCCGCCACACUGGAACUGAGACACGGUCCAGACUCCUACGGGAGGCAGCAGUGGGGAAUUUUGGACAAUGGGGGCAACCCUGAUCCAGCCAUGCCGCGUGAGUGAAGAAGGCCUUCGGGUUGUAAAGCUCUUUCGGCCGGGAAGAAAUCGCAUGGGCCAAUACCCUGUGUGGAUGACGGUACCGGAAUAAGAAGCACCGGCUAACUACGUGCCAGCAGCCGCGGUAAUACGUAGGGUGCGAGCGUUAAUCGGAAUUACUGGGCGUAAAGCGUGCGCAGGCGGUUUUGUAAGACAGGCGUGAAAUCCCCGGGCUUAACCUGGGAACUGCGUUUGUGACUGCAAGGCUAGAGUACGGCAGAGGGGGGUGGAAUUCCACGUGUAGCAGUGAAAUGCGUAGAGAUGUGGAGGAACACCAAUGGCGAAGGCAGCCCCCUGGGUCGAUACUGACGCUCAUGCACGAAAGCGUGGGUAGCAAACAGGAUUAGAUACCCUGGUAGUCCACGCCCUAAACUAUGUCAACUAGGUGUUGGGUGGGUAAAACCAUUUAGUACCGUAGCUAACGCGUGAAGUUGACCGCCUGGGGAGUACGGCCGCAAGGUUAAAACUCAAAGGAAUUGACGGGGACCCGCACAAGCGGUGGAUGAUGUGGAUUAAUUCGAUGCAACGCGAAAAACCUUACCUACCCUUGACAUGCCAGGAACUUGCCAGAGAUGGCUUGGUGCCCGAAAGGGAGCCUGGACACAGGUGCUGCAUGGCUGUCGUCAGCUCGUGUCGUGAGAUGUUGGGUUAAGUCCCGCAACGAGCGCAACCCUUGUCGUUAAUUGCCAUCAUUUAGUUGGGCACUUUAACGAGACUGCCGGUGACAAACCGGAGGAAGGUGGGGAUGACGUCAAGUCCUCAUGGCCCUUAUGGGUAGGGCUUCACACGUCAUACAAUGGUCGGUACAAAGGGUUGCCAAGCCGCGAGGCGGAGCCAAUCCCAGAAAGCCGAUCGUAGUCCGGAUUGCAGGCUGCAACUCGCCUGCAUGAAGUCGGAAUCGCUAGUAAUCGUGGAUCAGCAUGUCACGGUGAAUACGUUCCCGGGUCUUGUACACACCGCCCGUCACACCAUGGGAGCGGGUUCCGCCAGAAGUAGGUAGCCUAACCGCAAGGGGGGCGCUUACCACGGCGGGGUUCGUGACUGGGUGAAGUCGGAACAAGGUAGCUGUAGGGGUACCUGCGGCUG
rnacentral:rRNA from 1 species